rnacentral:rRNA from 1 species
CUUGGCGGUAAUUUAAUCUUUUCAGAGGAACUUGUUUUUUAAUCGAUACACCUCGAAUUAUCUUACUUAUUUUAAUAUAGUUUGUAUACCGUCAUUAUCAGGUAAUUUUUAAAAAAUAAAUUACUAAGAGUAAAUUUUUAAUUAAAUUAGAUCAUGGUGCAGCUUAUAAAUAAGUUAAAAUGAGUUACAAUAAAUUAUUUUAAAUGGAUAAAUUAAAGAAUUAUAUUUUAAAAGUGGAUUUGAUUGUAUUAAAAAUUUAAUAAGUUUAAAAGAUAAAAGCUCUAAAUUAUGU